rnacentral:rRNA from 1 species
AGAACGAACGCUGGCGGCAGGCUUAACACAUGCAAGUCGAACGCCCCGCAAGGGGAGUGGCAGACGGGUGAGUAACGCGUGGGAAUCUACCCAGUUCUACGGAAUAACACAGGGAAACUUGUGCUAAUACCGUAUACGCCCUACGGGGGAAAGAUUUAUCGGGAUUGGAUGAGCCCGCGUAAGAUUAGCUAGUUGGUGGGGUAAUGGCCUACCAAGGCGACGAUCUUUAGCUGGUCUGAGAGGAUGAUCAGCCACACUGGGACUGAGACACGGCCCAGACUCCUACGGGAGGCAGCAGUGGGGAAUAUUGGACAAUGGGCGCAAGCCUGAUCCAGCCAUGCCGCGUGAGUGAUGAAGGCCUUAGGGUUGUAAAGCUCUUUCAGUGGGGAAGAUAAUGACGGUACCCACAGAAGAAGCCCGGCUAACUUCGCGCCAGCAGCCGC